rnacentral:tRNA from 1 species
CAAGAUCGAUAAUCUUGAUGCUAUAGGUUCAAGUCCUAUCGUGCUCAAUAUUUAGAAAAAUAAAAAAAGGGGCGUAGCGCUU